GGAAGUGUCAGCGAGCGUCCCUGUCUCCCAGGAACUUACCAGACUAUACAGGGUCAGCACCACUGUGAGCCAUGCCCACCAGGUUUUUACUGUUCAGAAGAAGGUAGGUAUCAGGUGGUGGCAGUUUCCACACAUUUCCACACAGAUCAGGGUCAUGGUAAUUUGUUGCUGUUUUCUUCAUACCAGGAAUGGAACAGCCUAUGAUGUGCCAUGCUGGAUUCUUUUGCCCCAUUGGGACAGCCUUUCCACAGCCAUGUCCCCCUGGUAGCUAUGGUAACCUUUCUGGACUGACUGAUGAAUUAGAAUGUACUUCUUGUGACCCCGGGAUGUACUGCAAAGGCUCGGGAAACAUUUCUCCGACUGGUCCAUGCAGUUCUGGGUUCAUGUGCUUUGGAGGUGCCCCAUUACCUGCUUCUGCAGAUGGCAUAACUGGAGCUACCUGUCCUAUUGGAUUCUACUGUCCCUCAGGCAGUUACACAGCCACACCCUGCCCAAAAGGCACAUUUAGUGAAAAGCAAGGACUUAUAGGACCUGGUGAGUGCCAGAGUUGUACUGCAGGGUUCUACUGUGCAGAACCAGGCCGUACACAUGUCAGUGGGCCCUGUUUAGCAGGUCAGGUCUUAUUUCACACCCUUUCCUCAGUUCCUGGUGUAGCAUUUUUUUUAUGCAGGUUCCCACUUGUGGGACUAAUAAAGGUCUAUCUUAUUUAGUAAAAUUUGGUUCUCUAAGGUUUCUACUGCCUGGAAGGGUCAUCGGACAUGGCACCCUUUCAAGCAUCUUAUGGAGAUCAAUGUCCUUCCGGACAUUAUUGUGAAAAUGCAACUGCUUUCCCCUCUCCUUGCCCGGCUGGUACACACCGCCCUGAACAUGGUGGACAGGAGCGGCAGGACUGUGUGCCCUGCCCUUAUGGCUGGUUCCAGAACCAGAGAGGCCAGAGAGAUUGCAAGCUCUGUCCUGCUGGGUACCACUGCCCUCUCACAACCCAGGACAUCACAGGGGCAGCCAUGCCUCUCCUCUGCCCACAAGGCUAUUUCUGCCCCAGUAAUGUGUCCCAGGCAAAACCACUUCCCUGCCCCAAAGGCACAUUCGGCCUGACAAAUGGUCUAACUGCAGCAGAUGAAUGCACCCCCUGUUCCUUUGGGCAUUUUUGUGGUUCAGAAGGUCUUUCUCAGCCAUCAGGAACUUGUUCUCCAGGUUUCCUUUGCUUGGUGAGAGCUGAGGUACCAAACCCCACUGACAAUAGGACUGGAGCGCUCUGCCCACCUGGAGCCUUCUGCCAGAUGGGUGUCAUAGCGGGUGACUGCUCCCCAGGGUAUUUCUGUUCCUGGGGCUCCAGCAGUGCAGAAGAAGCCCCAUGUCCUGUCGGGGCUUUCUGUCCCAGGGGAGCAACAACACCUGUACUCUGUGAAACAGGCACGUUUGCCUCUGCAACGGGAAACAGCCACAGGGGAAACUGUUCCUCCUGUCCUGCAGGAUUCGUUUGCCAAGGACAAGGGACAGUGCAGCCCAAAUUGUGCCCACAAGGACAUUACUGCCCCUCUGCCACCUCGGUGCCCACACAGUACCCAUGCCCUGCUGGCACACUGCGGCACCUGCCAGGGGCUUCCUCCCCACUGGACUGUCAACCAUGUCCUGCUGGUAUGUUCUGUGCCCAUCCUGGACUUUCAGAACCUUCUGGCCUUUGUGGGAAAGGGUACCUCUGUAGGUCUGGUGCCAGCAGCCCCAAUGGAACUGACAACAGCAUGGUACAUUUUCACUGUGUUGCAGUCAGGCAGACAUAUUGUUGUUUUUUUUAGCUCUUGUUAUUUGUUCUGUGAAAAUGCAGUCUGUAGAAGACAACAUUUGUCCAGUCGGUCACUACUGCCCAGCUGGCACUGGCGUUCCUCUUCCAUGCCCACCUGGAACUUUUUCAAGUUCCAGAGGCCUGUGGAAUGCACUGCAAUGCCAGUCCUGCCCACCAGGGCACUUCUGUGAACACGAAGCCAUGGUGCUUCCAUCCCAGGCUGUACCAUGUGCUGCAGGGUAAGCAGAACUUAACUUACAUAAAAAAGUAGUACAAAUAGCAAUGCAAUGUGAGCUGGUUUAACUAAACUAUUACUGGCUUUGGUUG
rnacentral:lncRNA from 1 species